GACAGAGGGUGCAACCGUUGUUCGGAAUCACUGGGCGUAAAGCGCGUGUAGGCGGCAAUGUAAGUCGGAUGUGAAAUCCCGCGGCUCAACCGUGGAAGUGCACCCGAAACUACAUAGCUAGAGUGUCGGAGAGGAAGGUGGAAUGCUUGGUGUAGAGGUGAAAUUCGUAGAUAUCAAGCGGAACACCGGUGGCGAAGGCGGCCUUCUGGACGACGACUGACGCUGAGACGCGAAAGCGUGGGUAGCAAACAGG
rnacentral:rRNA from 1 species